CAAGGUAAGCGCGCAAUUACCCCUCCCCAGUUUUUUGCAAUUUUAAAGUUUCAAAAAACUGGGGAGGGGAGGAAAGUCCGGACUCCGUAAAUGGCAGUGGGUAACACCCACCACCCCUCCCCAGUUUAUAAUAUUUAUUAAACUGGGGAGGGGUAGGGAAAGUGCCACAGAGACUAUACUACCCCUCUCCAGUUUUAAGUUUAAUUAAUUAUGUAUUUUCUUUAUCUUUUAUACAAUAUUGAGACAGAAAAAUAUUAUGUAGGAUUUACUAGCAAUAUUAAUAAAAGAUUAAAAGAACAUCAAAGUGGAUUAAAUCAAUCUACAAAAUAUAAAUGUUGUGCAUGGAAAUUAAUUUAUACAGAAAUUUAUAAAGCCAAACAAGAUGCUAUUAUUAGAGAGAAUAAAUUAAAAGCUCAUGGAUCUGGUUUGGUUGAAAUUAAAAAACGCAUUUUGCACUCAUUGAAAUUAAUUAAACUUAAAACUGGGGAGGGGAAAAGGUGAAAAGAAAAUUGGUGUUUUUUUGUUUUAAUAAAGAAGCUACAAUUUUUUCCAACUGGCGACAGUUGAGAAUGGUAAACCCUGCCUGGAGCAAGAACAAACCCUCGCCGAAUCGGCGGGGAGCCAAGUAGUUCGCAUGAUUUUGCCAGCAAUGGCAAAACAAGAUAAAUGAUUGCGCUUUAAUUUUAUUGCUUAUGUAAUAUUAUUAAAGACAGAAUCCGGCUUAUAGCUUGCCUUGAUGU
rnacentral:RNase_P_RNA from 1 species